AGCUCCAAUAGCGUAUAUUAAAGUUGUUGCAGUUAAAAAGCUCGUAGUUGGAAUGAUACGUUUGCUGAGCCGUCUCUUUCUAGAGCGCGAAGCAGGCGCGGGUGUUCCGAACACCUCUGUUACUUUGAGAAAAAUUGAGUGUUUCAGGCGGGCCAGAGCUGAAAUAGUGUACCAUGGAAUAACGAAGUGGCUGUCUCUCCGUUUCUUCGAUUUUGGACGAGACAGCGCGUGGUUGAUAGGAACAGUCGGGGGUAUUCGUAUUGAACAGUCAGAGGUGAAAUUCUUAGAUUUGUUCAAGACGAACUAAUGCGAAAGCAUCUACCAAGGAUGUUUUCA
rnacentral:rRNA from 1 species